UUCGAUCAUGGCUCAGAUUGAACGCUGGCGGGAUGCUUUACAUGCAAGUCGAACGGCAGCACGGACUUCGGUCUGGUGGCGAGUGGCGAACGGGUGAGUAAUGUAUCGGAACGUGCCUAGUAGCGGGGGAUAACUACGCGAAAGCGUAGCUAGCCUGCAUACGCCCUUCGGGAAAGCGGGGGACCUUCGGGCCUCGCACUAUUAGAGCGGCCGAUAUCGGAUUAGCUAGUUGGUGGGUAACGGCUCACCAAGGCGACGAUCCGUAGCUAGUUUGAAGAGACGACCAGCACACUGGGACUGAAGACGGCCCAGACUCCUACGGAGGGCAACGGUAGGGAAUUUUGGACCAAUGGGGAAACCCUGAUCAGCCACUCCGGUGUGCGAUGAAGGCCUUCGGGUUGUAAAGCACUUUUGGCGGAGAAGAAACGGCACGGGAUAAUACCCCGUGCAACUGACAGUACCUGCACAGAAUAAGCACCGGCUAACUACGUGCCCAGCAGCCGCGGUAAUACGCGGUGCAAGCGUUAAUCGGAAUUACUGGGCGUAAAGCGUGCCUGAGCGGUUCCGGAAAGAAAGAUGUGAAAUCCCAGAGCUUAACUUUGGAACUGCAUUUUUAACUACCGAGCUAGAGUGUGUCAGAGAGUGGAAUUCCGCGUGUAGCAGUGAAAUGCGUAGAUAUGCGGAGGAACACCGAUGGCGAAGGCAACCUCCUGGGAUAACACUGACGCUCAUGCACGAAAAAGCGUGGGGAGCAAACAGGAUUAGAUACCCUGGUAGUCCACGCCUAAACGAUGUCAACUAGCUGUUGGGGCCUUCGGGCCUUGGUAGCGCAGCUAACGCGUGAAGUUGACCGCCUGGAGUACGGUCGCAAGAUUAAAACUCAAAGGAAUUGACGGGGACCCGCACAAGCGGUGGAUGAUGUGGAUUAAUUCGAUGCAACGCGAAAAACCUUACCUACCCUUGACAUGUCUGGAAUCCCGAAGAGAUUUGGGAGUGCUCGCAAGAGGAACCGGAACACAGGUGCUGCAUGGCUGUCGUCAGCUCGUGUCGUGAGAUGUUGGGUUAAGUCCCGCAACGGCGCAACCCUUGUCAUUAGUUGCUACGAAGGGCACUCUAAUGAGACUGCCGGUGACAAACCGGAGGAAGGUGGGGAUGACGUCAAGUCCUCGUGGCCCUUAUGGGUAGGGCUUCACACGUCAUACAAUGGUCGGGACAGAGGGUCGCCAACCCGCGAGGGGGAGCCAAUCCCAGAAACCCGAUCGUAGUCCGGAUCAUAGUCUGCUUUCGACCGCGUGAAGUCGGAAUCGCUAGUAAUCGCGGAUCAGCAUGCUGCGGUGAAUACGUUCCCGGGCCUUGUACACACCGCCCGUCACACCAUGGAGUUGGUUUUACCCGAAGGUAGUGCGCUAACCGCAAGGAGGCAGCUAACCACGGUAGGGUCAGCGACUGGGGUGAAGUCGUAACAAGGCAG
rnacentral:rRNA from 1 species